CCGUUGUACACACCGCCCGUCACACCAUGGGAGUGGGUUUCACCAGAAGUAGGUAGCUUAACCCUUCGGGGAGGGCGCUUACCACGGUGAGAUUCAUGACUGGGGUG
rnacentral:rRNA from 1 species